UCACGGAGGAUGAGGUCCGUGUCCAACCGGAGUACGGUCGAUCUCGCACCGUGGGCUGGGCCUUCCAGGUUUGCGUGGAAAAGUUGCAGAGACGUUAAAUCACGCAUCAAAACUGAAUGUUUGUGGUGCAGAGCAGUAAAUGUGGAGAUGGUACAGGAGCACGAUUACAACAGCCGUCCAGUCCCAGAACAUUAGGGACGUUCUUGGAACGUCUAGGUGAAGGAGAGCGGAGACGUGGUGCUGUCUGGAGCAAAUAUAGAUCUGCAGACGGAUGUGUGUGUCAGCGCCGGGUCUCCGCAGAGCCUCGGCCUGCAGAGCGACCUGGUGUUCUCUGAGAUCGCACGCAGGAUGAGAGACGACGGUCAGGAGCUGGUGAAGAAGGUCAACGCUGUGUUCGGAUGGAGAUCAGCAAAGACGACAGAACCAUCCGAGACUGGAGUGAACCAGACUCUGCAGAAUAUCAUUCAUCCUCUUAACACAAGCAAAGAUAUCUGCUAAAGGGGUGAGGAAUAUAACUAACUAUUAAGAGAAUAUAUUUUUCUUACCACAUUUGCAGAUAUUUUUGCAACAAAAUAGUUUUCUUGUCCUAUCACACAGUCACGUGUUUUAUGAUGCACAUUUAAGUGUUUCUAUCGUCGUUUAUGUGCACGUUUUCUUACCAGAUAAGAAAUGUAUCCUACUUUGUUGAAUGCAUACGUUUAUGCACAUUUUUAGAAUUUGUAUUAGUUUCCAUCAGGUGUUUAUUAUUUAUUUAUUUAUUUAUUUUUAUGUGAUAUCCCAAAAUGUGCAUAAAAAUUGGUGAAUGGAAACAGUGAGACUGCAAACAAUCCUCUUACUCGUGUUUGCCUUGUGUUCUAGUAUAAAUAUCUGAAUAUUCUUGAAUCAAGAUGCAUUUACUGUACAAGUAACAAUUUGAAAUGAUUUUUUUUUUUUCAAUUAUCAAAAUGUUGUUAGUUUUGGCUUAAAACGAGCAGAAAUAUCUGCCAAUGGGGGAAGAAAAAGAAUCUUGUUUAGCCUUUGAAUUCAGAUUCUUUUUCUUACAUCAUUGGUAAAUAUUUUUGAAUGUUUCAAUGAACUGUUUGAAACA